ACGCCGCUAAGAGGAAGGAAGACAGCUCUUGUGUGGACUCUGAAGACGCAACUGACGCAGCCUGACUUGUUUCCAAGCAACAGGGGACCUGCGAGAGCUCGGUGACAGAUGGACAACUGGCGCUGUGCUCUUCGGAAAGGUCACUCAGCUGUGGGCAAGAAGAGGCCACAAAAGGCUGCGCUGCCAAUUGAUCCACGCCCGUCAAUACGCACACACACACACACACACACACACACACACUGAAUGGCGGCACAACUGUUGACCAUUGUUGUCCGUAGACUUAUUCCUCUUUCUCUGUCAUGUGUUCCAGCGCCCGUAACUUAGCAACCAUCUGGAGAGCCCCAGAGGGGCAUUUGGACAAAAGAUUGGAUAAAUGCACUGAUAAGAAACAUCAUUGUUUGCCUUCUGCACACUACACCAUACACACAAGUUCAGACCUUGGGGGCAACCUGGGCUUAUUUUGUUGAGUCUUUGUUUAUUGUUGCACGUUAAGAAGCCAAUACUCAAACAAGGACAUAGGCAACCACUUAAGGAAAUGUUCAGAGUUAAACCUUUGGAGCUGUGACGUUGGC